rnacentral:lncRNA from 1 species
CCUCGCCUUUUUUGAAUGAAGCGCAGGAAAGAAUGGAACUGGCUUUGACUUCUUCAAUGGAAGGACGAUGCAAUAAAAAUUCCGACCUUCAUAGCAGCUCUCGGCCGAGAAUAGGGAACAACUGAAUCAGCUUGCUCUAUGAUGGGAGUAAACUCACAUGUUCAUUUAGAAGAAUUGUGUAUGAAUUGGACAAGAAGGAAUUUUCCUAAAAGCGCACAACCAAUGAUCC